GACGAACGCUGGCGGCGUGCUUAACACAUGCAAGUCGAACGGAAAGGCCCUGCUUUUGUGGGGUGCUCGAGUGGCGAACGGGUGAGUAACACGUGAGUAACCUGCCCUUGUCUUUGGGAUAACUUCAGGAAACUGGGGUUAAUACCGGAUAGGAGCUCCUGCUGCAUGGUGGGGGUUGGAAAGUUUCGGCGGUUGGGGAUGGACUCGCGGCUUAUCAGCUUGUUGGUGGGGUAGUGGCUUACCCAGGCUGUGACGGGUAGCCGGCCUGGGAGGGUGGCCGGCCACAUUGGGACUGAGGUACGGCCCAGACUCCUACGGGAGGCAGCAGUGGGGAAUAUUGCACAAUGGGCGGAAGCCUGAUGCAGCAACGCCGCGUGCGGGAUGACGGCCUUCGGGUUGUAAACCGCUUUCGCCUGUGACGAAGCGUGAGUGACGGUAAUGGGUAAAGAAGCACCGGCUAACUACGUG
rnacentral:rRNA from 1 species